rnacentral:rRNA from 1 species
GACGAACGCUGGCGGCGUGCCUAAUACAUGCAAGUCGAGCGAAUCGAUGGGAGCUUGCUCCCUGAGAUUAGCGACGGACGGGUGAGUAACACGUGGGUAACCUGCCUGUAAGACUGGGAUAACUUCGGGAAACCGGAGCUAAUACCGGAUAAUUUCUUUUCUCGCAUGAGGAGAGAUGGAAAGAUGGUUCUGCUAUCACUUACAGAUGGACCCGCGGCGCAUUAGCUAGUUGGUGAGGUAACGGCUCACCAAGGCGACGAUGCGUAGCCGACCUGAGAGGGUGAUCGGCCAAACUGGGACUGAGACACGGCCCAGACUCCUACGGGAGGCAGCAGUAGGGAAUCUUCCGCAAUGGACGAAAGUCUGACGGAGCAACGCCGCGUGAGCGAAGAAGGCCUUCGGGUCGUAAAGCUCUGUUGUUAGGGAAGAACAAGUACGAGAGUAACUGCUCGUACCUUGACGGUACCUAACCAGAAAGCCACGGCUAACUACGUGCCAGCCGCCGCGGUAAUAC